rnacentral:rRNA from 1 species
GACGAACGCUGGCGGCGUGCUUAACACAUGCGAGUCGAACGGUGAAGCGCCUUCCUUUUUGGUGGGUGUGGAUGAGUGGCGAACGGGUGAGUAACACGUGAGUAACCUGCCCCCUUCUUCUGGAUAACCGCAUGAAAGUGUGGCUAAUACGGGAUAUUCUGGGUCUGUCGCAUGAUGGGUCUGGGAAAGAUAUUGUUUCGGUGGGGGAUGGGCUCGCGGCCUAUCAGCUUGUUGGUGGGGUGAUGGCCUACCAAGGCGGUGACGGGUAGCCGGCCUGAGAGGGUGGACGGUCACACUGGGACUGAGACACGGCCCAGACUCCUACGGGAGGCAGCAGUGGGGAAUAUUGCACAAUGGGCGCAAGACUGAUGCAGCGACGCCGCGUGAGGGAUGGAGGCCUUCGGGUUGUGAACCUCUUUCGCCAGUGAAGCAGGCCUGCCUCGUUUGUGGGUGGGUUGACGGUAGCUGGAUAAGAAGCGCCGGCUAACUACGUG